UUCAAUCCAGCCUCCAUGUUUGUUGGCGUCUUAUGAAGAUCCCACGCAAAUACUCAUGAACAUAAUCGACCCUCCAUCCUCACCGGUGUCCUCUCUGACAAAUUCAGAGGAAAGCACAGAGAACACUUUGGAAGACGCCAGCACAUCGGCCUCAAGCUCUGCCUCGCCAGCUGGAAGAGGAAGCUGGA